rnacentral:lncRNA from 10 species
GGGCCACAGAUCCCAGCACCAGCGACUGGAAGCAUGCCCACUCCCGCUUUCCCGCAAGCUUCACAGCACAUAGCCGCCCUGUAGUCACAACCGAGGGCAGCUCCAGCACAGGCCAUUCCUGAGACCUCUCUGCAGGGGAGGCUCCAGCUGGGAACACGGCUGCUCUGGCUCUGGGAGUGUCGCAAGCAUAACCACUUUUCAGGGUACAGAGUGAUGCCCAAAAGCAUCUCACAGCCUCAAUCAAUUCAGGGAAAAGAACAUGAACCAAAAUGACAAUCCCGUUCUAAUCUGCUCUGUCCCUCUUUCAGAGUAUUUGUGAUAUUUGCUGAUGAGAAAUGGGUGCUUCCUUAGCAGAUGUCUUCCUAAGAAUGGGGAAUGUGAACCCUGGUUUACCUAUGCGACUUCCUGCUCUUAGAUUCGCUCUCUGCUGAAGAGGUCCCAUGCUGUCACCUGGUGGAAAAAAAUGAGAAACUGCCUUGUGUGCCCAGGCCAUGACAAAAGCGUUCCUGUUAAAGGAAGUUACCCUUUACUACAGAUGCUGGGGGACAACGCUGACCCCAUGCUGCCUCACCUGCUGUGCCAUCUACUCCAGACAGAGCACCUUACUAAGAUCCUCAGCUACCAACCAACCUCAGGUGGAAUAAAUGGUCCCAGUGGCAGUCACCACAGCCACCCCACACUCGCUAAAGCAAGAUGGAGGACCGAACAGGUAGACGAGUCAGGAGGACGAAGCAGGGGCCGGGGAGGACGCAAAGAAGGGAGGAAUUCAUCAACGGGCAGGAUCGAGCAAAGAGAAACACACAGGUAAGCCUCGCCAACAAAAAGCACCGCCCUUGGGAUUUUUACACAUUUUUAGCCAAACAGCCGGAAGAACCAAUGAGAAAUACAGAAGUGUAUAAGAUAAUAAAGUUAAAUGGUCUCAUCGCGAUAUAUUAAAAUAAGAAAAAGCCUAGCCGGGCGCGGGGGCUCAUGCCUGUAAUCCCAGCACUUUGGGAGGCCGAGGCAGGAGAAUCGCUUGAAGCUGGGAGGCAGAGGUAGCAGUGAGCUGAGAUCGCAUCACUGCACUCCAGCCUGGCAGACAGUGCGAGACUUCGUCUCCAAAAAAAAAAAAAAAGAAAGAAAAAGACUACCUGUUCACCAAGUUACAAAUAUAAUAAAACUACCUUCUUAUAUAACACGAUAAAAGAAAAAUAAGGACAAGAAUAUCCCCAAAGAGGCUGGGCGUGGUGGUUCACAUCUGUAAUCCCAGCACUUUGGGAGGCCGAGGCAGGCAGAUCACUUGAGGUCAGGAGUUCGAGACCAGCCUGGCCAAGGUGGUGAAACCUCAUCUGUACUAAAAACACAAAAAUUAGCUGAGCGUGGUAGCAGGCACCUGUAAUCCCAGCUACUUGGGAGGCUGAGGAAGGAGAAUCGCUUGAACCCAGAAGGCAGAGGCUACAGAGAGCAGAGAUCGUGCCACUGCAUUCUAGCUUGGGUGACAGAGCAAAGCUCUGUCUUAAAAAAGAAGAAUAUCCCCAAAUUAGCCAGGCGUGCUGGCAGGCGCCUGUAAUCCCAGCUACUUGGGAGGCUGAGGCAGAAGAAUUGCUUGAACCCAGGAGGUGGAGGUUGCAGUAAGCCGAGAUCAUGCCAUUGCACUCUAGCCUGGGCAAAAAGAGCAAAACUCCGUCUCAAAAAAAAAAAAAAAAAAAAAAAAGAAUAUCCCCAAUUAUUCCUAGAGGUGGAUUUGUACUUCCUACCUUGGGUUUUUCUAAUGAUGGCAGGGUGCUUUACUGGGCUCCAAGAAAGGCUAUGUAGCCCGGCUAGAAGCAAAAGCUCUGUGACUCCUGCUUAAAGCCACUGAAAAGAACCUGCUUAAAGCCACUGAAAAGAACCUAUCACAAGAGGACACUCCAGAGGGAAAAGAAGGGAACCUGGUAUCUUUGAGGGGAAAAAAAUGAGAAAACGGGAGAAGGGCUAUUCCCAGGACUAGAAAGAAAACAAAAGCUGGUGCAGGUCGCAGAAGCUGAGUGGGCCUUGGGAGGCUGGCCUCUGACCACUGACCAAGGCUCCAAGCCUGGGUAUGACUUGCACACAGGCUGCCUAGGAGCAAGAGUUACGUGAACCUGGACAGCAGGAAUGCCAUACUAUCUGUUCCAGGCCCAAACUGGCGAGAUCCUCCAGAAUACUGUGCUCUAAAUAACAACCUAGGGCUGACCCUGGCGUGAAGCCUCAAAGUCAUGUUUAAUUUA